CCUUCUCUCCCUUCAAAAUAAUGCAGGAAUGGUUCUCCCCUGGUCGCCUCCACCCCUCCUCUGUGAAGUAAACGUAGGGGGUCAGCCUCUCAUCUCCGGCUGCAAUCAGGAGCUGCAGUUGCAGAAGUUUCGAGACCUGUUGCCAGACGCGGAGAUGGAGGGCUUCCCAUGCCCGCCCCACCUGUGGGAUCUGGUGACCAGCGGUUGAUGUCUUUAGUCCAGGCAUCGGUUGCACCAGCCACCUGGCUAGGUCAUGCCCUAGAUGUCGUCAAGCUGUGUGCCUGUUUUGGUCAACUCGCAAGCAUGGAAGAGCUUACACGUGUGAAGAAGGAGGUGCUCAUAAAGAAGACAGAUGUGACGUCUGUCAUAUGGACCUGGUUUGGGUUUAAGGAGUCAGAUGUUGAGCAGAUCACAUCUCUAAACAAGCCUAUCUCUGAAGAGGAGGUCCUGCAUGCAUUUAAAUCUACCCCAUCAGGCAAAGUGCCAGGGCCAGAUGGCUAUGUGUCUGACUAUUAUAAAACCUUUAAGCCCCAUUUACUUUCUUACCUGAGUAAGGCUACUUUCA